rnacentral:other from 1 species
AUAAGCCUGGAGUGUUCGAUAGUCCUGCUAUUUUGAACCUACAUUUAUUUGAACGGGAUGCCAUAUAGUAAUAAUAUGUCAGGCCUCCGAUUUGCAGUGGAAGACAGAAAAAUUAAUGAGGCAACCCACUUGACGUCUCGCUAGGCGUCAGAAUGCAGGAGACGGCACUCUGGGUUUUUU